rnacentral:rRNA from 1 species
UACGUAGGGUCCGAGCGUUGUCCGGAAUUACUGGGCGUAAAGAGCUCGUAGGUGGUUUGUCGCGUUGUUCGUGAAAACUCACAGCUCAACUGUGGGCGUGCGGGCGAUACGGGCAGACUGGAGUACUGCAGGGGAGACUGGAAUUCCUGGUGUAGCGGUGGAAUGCGCAGAUAUCAGGAGGAACACCGGUGGCGAAGGCGGGUUGCUGGGCCGACACUGACGCUGAUGCGCGAAGGUCAGGGGAGCAAACGGG